rnacentral:sRNA from 1 species
GCCAGGUGUGGUGGUGCACACCUGUAAUCCCAGCAGCUCUGGAGGCUGAGACAGGAGGAUUGCGAGUUCAAAGCCAGCCUCAGCAACAGCAAGGUGCUAAGCAACUCAGUGAGACCCUGUCUCUA